CUGCAUGAAGACCGGUGUUCGACUCUUGUCGUUCUGAGAAUAUACGGUUAAACUUGAUCUGGGUAAUUCCAGCGAAAGGACUCAAUGCGCUUUUUCU
rnacentral:ncRNA from 2 species